rnacentral:lncRNA from 1 species
AUUUGACUUGGAUUGGUUUGAUUGGAUCAAGCUUAAUUUCAAGGGAGACUAAUUCCUGAUUUGAUCAGGGCUUGAAUUCAGUUAAUUCCUAAUUGGAUUAAAAAUUUAUUGAGAAUAUUGAGUUUCUAAUUGAAUUAGGUUCAUUUCUCUUAUUUAUAUCAAACCAAAUCAGAUUUAGUUUAAACCAAAUAGAAAACCCUAGAGUCCCAAAGAGCUGAGACUCUCUCCCCUUGCACACACCUUGAAGUCCACGCCCUAAUAUCUCAUGGAAAAAAUAUUUCGUGUGAGAAUUCUUGCGUGAGAAAGGUAUGGGUGUAGAAAGAAAGGUAUGGGUGCAAAAAGAAGUGGGGUGGCACUCUUGAUGAGUCAUCCAUCUUAUCCUUUUCUAUUUUGAAUUUGAUUCAAAUUUAGAGAUAAGAAUUUAAAGAAAACAAAUCAUGAAAAAUUAGGAAAAUUGUUGUGGCGCCAAUCUAUUCCAAUACACAUUGAGAAAGAAGUGUGCGUGGGAGAAAUCAGAUCUCUCUCAUGCCACUCCUAUUUUUUGGGCGACAAAAAGUUUGGACACCCCAAAGUGUGGCAUGUAAUAAUCUUUGGCACCCCUCCUUCUAACCCUAAUUCUCUAUGCCUCCCUAUAAAAGGGCUCCAAUAAUCUAACGCCCAACUAAUUGAAAAAAGAAAAAAAAAAGAAGAAAAAAUUUAAAAUAGAGAUUCUAAAAAACCAAGCCUCCUCUUCCCUCUCCUUUCUCCUCCAAGUUCUUCCUCUCUAGAGCAUCUGUAAGAUUCGAAGAAGUCACUUCAACUAUCAAAGAAGAGAUCUCCACAAGGGAGCUAGCACCUCAAAAAGAUCACCUGUCUCUAAUCGAAACGAGUUCUCGUGUGGAUACCUAUAGAGGCCGGACACAUACGCUAAAAGAACCAGUCCGAUCCAUGAUCAUCGACUGCAGUGUAGUACGAUCCAUGCAAAGAUAUUGAGAUUCAAUCUUAAUAUUAUUUUAUUUUAUUUUUAAAUUAUAUGCAUAUCGUAGAUCCAAACACAGAUAGUUAAUAGAUUUGAUCUAUUGCAUGUGGGGUUAAAGAGUUUAACCUAGAUUUGCUUUCACUGUUGUUUCAAAAUUAUUUUGAAAUCUAUGCAUGCAAGCCUAUUUGUUUCUUAACAGUAGUAUCAAAGCCACAAAUUUUUUUAACAUGCAUGAUCUGAUUUUAUUUUAGAUCUGAAAGUUUGAGAUAUAUAAAAUCGAUCUUGUACUGCUAUAAGAUUGUCUUGAUAUAGGAUUUAUCUCCUAUAUUGAAAAGAUUAUCCUAGCACAAGAUUGAUCGAUUUUGAAAAUUAUUUUUAAAAUUUUUAAAUCAAUCUUUUAGAUCUAAAAAUAAAUGUAUAUGAUAUGCCUUUAUUCAUAUUUAGAUCUAAAAUUAAAAUGAUUAAAGAAUAUAUCGGACUGCUAUAAGGUUGUCCUGAUAUAUAGUUUAAUCCCUAUAUUGAAAAGCUUGUCCUAGUACGAUGCGAAUCAAUUUUUAAAAAAUAUUUUCAAAAAAUUUUAAUCAUUAUUUUAGAUCUGAUUUAAUACGUAUGAGAUAUAUGUAAUUUUAGUUUUAGAUAUAAAAAUUAUAUAUGUGAUAUAUGUUUUGUAGUUAUAUCUAAAAUUGUAUAUAUAAGAUAUAUGACC